CCAAAAACCCUUAGCUAGCGAAGAUGGUGUUCUUAACACUUUCUUUCUUACCUGUACAAAUCAAUGGAGACUAAAAUAUACACAUCACUAUUAAACUAAUCAUUUUCUUGCUGUAUACUUAUUAAAAGAAUUAUUGCUUAAGAUUUGCAAUUGUGCAUUUCAGGGUUUUUUUACAAACACACUGUAUGUACUUUGCUUGGUGAAACAGUUGCUGUUUCUGCAGACAAUAAUUAACUUGCUAUUGUUUACAUAGCCAGUAAAUAGGUAUAUAAUAUAGAAUAUUAUACAACGUAAUAGUAAACUGUACCUAUAAAAGAAGUUUUUUAUUGUAUUAAUGUAAAAUCCAUAUUUGAUAUCUAAAAAGUAUUCAAAAUAUGUGAAUUUAUAUCAAACAUAUUCAAUAUUUCAAAUCUUCCAGUUUAAUAUUUACGUAAACUUGUAUGUAGUUAGAUCUUAAAACUUUAAAUGGUUUCUUAACUUGCAUAUUACCUACUAGCAAAGAGUUUACCGAACCGAUCCACUCCUCGCCGACCCCUGGAGUAUAGUUGAGCGGAUCUUUAACCUUGGACUAGUGAAGAUGGCCCACAUGUUGCUUUCAAAUUGAUUAUAACUAAGUUCUAACCUGCUCAAACGUCCGCCAGAAUUUUAUUUUUGUGAUAAUUUUAGAGAGCAUCAUCAUUUAGAUAUUUUUUGAUCGACUUGUGUAUUCAUUAAGCCUUCAAUGUUCAUUUCCCUUUGACAUUUAUAUUGUACAUGUAUAUGUGUGAACUUUCGUCAGUAUUACAAUUUACAAUCAAUUGUAUAAUAUAUUAGUUUCCAGUAGGUUUUCACGUUUUGAACAUCGUUAUUUUCAAUGAUUUGUUUUUAAUAAACAUUAGAAUUUCAACAGGUAAUAAAUAUCAGCUAGUCUUGC
rnacentral:sRNA from 1 species